UACGGAGGGUGCAAGCGGUAUCCGGAAUCACUGGGUUUAAAGGGUGCGUAGGCGGCUUAAUAAGUCAGAAGUGAAAGUUCUGAGCUUAACUGCGAAAUUGCUUUUGAUACUGUAGAGCUAGAAUCUGGUUGAGGUCAGCGGAAUGUGUCAUGUAGCGGUGAAAUGCAUAGAUAUGACAUAGAACACUAAUUGCGAAGGUAGCUGGCUGGGCCUAGAUUGACGCUGAGGCACGAAAGCGUGGGGAGCGAACAGG
rnacentral:rRNA from 1 species